GUUAGGAAUAUUGGACAAUGGGCGCAAGCCUGAUCCAGCCAUGCCGCGUGAACGAUGAAGGCCUUCGGGUUGUAAAGUUCUUUAGCCGAUGAUUAUAAUGACUGUAGUCGGAAAAUAAGCCCCGGCUAACUCCGUGCCAGCAGACGCGGUAAUACGAAGGGGGCGAGCGUUAUUCGGAAUCACUGGGCGUAAAGCGUGCGUAGGCGGUCUCGUAAGUUAGGAGUGAAAGCCAAGGGCUCCACCUUGGAACUGCUCUUAAUACUGCAAGGCUAGAAUCUCGGAGAGGAUAGCGGAAUCUCCAGUGUAGCAGUGAAAUGCGUAGAUAUUGGAAGGAACACCAGUGGCGUAAGCGGCUAUCUGGACGAGUAUUGACGCUGAGGCACGAAAGCGUGGGGAUCAAACAGGAUUAGAUACCCUUGUAGUCC
rnacentral:rRNA from 1 species